CGCGACCCCAGGUCAGGUGGGAUUACCCGCUGAGUUUAAGCAUAUAAAU
rnacentral:rRNA from 1 species